CCUACGGGAGGCAGCAGUAAGGAAUAUUGGACAAUGCUCGCAAGAGUGAUCCAGCCAUGCCGCGUGCAGGAAGAAUGCCCUAUGGGUAGUAAACUGCUUUUGAACUAGAGAAAACCCCAGUACGUGUACUGGGCUGAUAGUAUAGUUAGAAUAAGCAUCGGCUAACUUCGUGCCAGCAGCCGCGGUAAGACGAAGGAUGCAAGCGUUAUCCGGAUUCAUUGGGUUUAAAGGGAGCGUAGGUGGACUGAUAAGUCAGUGGUGAAAUCUCCGAGCUUAACUCGGAAAUUGCCAUUGAUACUGUUGGUCUUGAGUACAGUUGCUGUGGGCGGAAUAUGACAUGUAGUGGUGAAAUACAUAGAGAUGUCAUAGAACACCGAUUGCGAAGGCAGCUCACAAAGCUGUAACUGACACUGAGGCUCGAAAGUGCGGGGAUCAAACAGGAUUAGAUGCCCUGGUAGUCCGCACCGUAAACGAUGAUUACUCGCUGCUAGGGGGCACCUUUAGUGGCUUAGCGAAAGCGUAGUAGUUAUUACUACGNGGNGAGCGCGACGNGAGAGAGAGAGAGNGNGAGAGNGCGACGGACGACGACGAGGAGGAGG
rnacentral:rRNA from 1 species